UACGGAGGGUGCAAGCGUUGUCCGGAAUUAUUGGGCGUAAAGAGCUCGUAGGCGGUCUGUCGCGUCUGCUGUGAAAACUCAGGGCUUAACCCUGAGCUUGCAGUGGGUACGGGCAGACUAGAGUGCGGUAGGGGAGACUGGAAUUCCUGGUGUAGCGGUGAAAUGCGCAGAUAUCAGGAGGAACACCGGUGGGCGAAGGCGGGUCUCUGGGCCGUAACUGACGCUGGAGGAGCGAAAGCAUCGGGGAGCGAACAGG
rnacentral:rRNA from 1 species